CGCCAUGAGGGCGGGAGGGGGCGUGUCCUCCCCUUUUGCCCGUCGCGCCGGGAUUCCCUCUACGUGACGUCACUUGCGCGAGCCGGCGGCGCCGGGGCGCACCCGGAAGCGGCGCCGGGCCUGGGGGUCCCAGGGGGUCCCAGGGGGUCCCGGGGACCUCUGGCGAUCCCCUGGGAGGCCCCGGGGCCACCAUGGCGGGGGCGGCGGCGUUGCAGGUGCUCCGCCAGGGCGUUUGGGCCUCGCUGACCGGCGGCUGCUUCCUGGACCCGCAGCUCGGCGCCUUCGCCAACUGCGUCCGGCUCUACGUGUGGCUGUUCCUGCUCGGGCUGCCCCUUGGGCUCUAUUCGGCGCUGCCGCCCACCCCCGCCGUGGCCGCUCUGUACUGCGGGGUCGUGGCCGCGUUUUUCGGGGCCGUCAAGGCCGUGACGUUCCGGCUCCACGCGCAGCUCGACCGGGGGGGCUUACAGGGGGACCCCGAGGGGGGGGCGGCCGCUCUGCUGCCCCCCCCCAGCCCUGAGGAGGGGGACGGGCCCCCCGGGCUCCCUGGGGGGGGGUCUGGAGCUCUCGGUGCUCCGGUGGCCACAUGCGACCCCCCCUGAACUCUGUGGCUUCAACCAGCUCUCGGAGCUGCUGCCGCACCUGGACACGGACAGGAUGGGUGAGCUCUGGAGCGGCACCAGUGGCAUCAUCACCGCCGCCGACCGGGAGCAUCUGUGCCGCGGCCCCCCCACAGCGGGGGGGCACCCCGGGGGGGGGACACGACUGGGGGAGGCACAGGGGCUGAGGGAGGGGAGCUGCGGGGGGGCCGGGGGUGAUACCGGAGUCCCGCUGACCCUCGGACUGCCCUCGGCCCCAGAGAGCCCUCUGGCAGCCAGUGUAGAGGGGGAGGUCCCGCCUGGCAGCCCCCCCCCCAACACCCUCCCAGGGUAGGGGUCCCAGCAGCCCGUGCAUGGCCCUGAGCCCCCCCCAGCCCCCUGAGACCCCCUCAGCCACCAGCGGCUCCCCUCGGGGGGUGAGAGGGGGCCCUGAGGGCGAUGGGCCAGGGGAGACCCCCUCGGGAGGAGAGUGGAGGUUGGGCUGACCCCAGAGCAGGGAGGUCUGGGGGGGAGCAGUGCUAUAACUGGGAUGUCUGGGGGGGCACUGGGGGGUGCUCCCCUACAGUGGAAAACUUGGGGGUCCUGCCCCAUAACUAAGGGGCUCCAGAGGGCUGGGGAGGGCUUGUCCUGGCCAUAACAGGGGGGGCUAGGGGGGUUAAACAGCCUCAUGGUGAGAUUUGGAGGCACCUGAUCUCUGACAGGGGCUCUGGGACAUUUCAGGGGGGGAUCCUGGGGAAGGCUGGACUCUUUCUCUCGUUUUUGAUGGUUCUCAGUGGGGUUUUGUUGGUUUAGGGGGGUUUGGGGUUGGUACAAAUAAAUUAAUAAAUAAAACCUGA